UACGUAGGCAGCGAGCGUUGUCCGGAUUUAUUGGGCGUAAAGAGCGUGUAGGCGGCUUGGUAGGUCCGCUGUGAAAACUCGAGGCUCAACCUCGAGAUGUCGGCGGAAACCACUUGGCUAGAGUCCGGAAGAGGAGAGUGGAAUUCCUGGUGUAGCGGUGAAAUGCGCAGAUAUCAGGAAGAACACCUAUGGCGAAGGCAGCUCUCUGGGACGGUACUGACGGCUGAGACGCGAAAGCGUGGGGAGCGAACAGG
rnacentral:rRNA from 1 species